CAUCUCUCCCCUGUCCAUUUCCAGUCUCAAUCACAUUAGUGGCCACCAUCACAGCAGCGGAAAAAGCUUGCGUUGUCUGUCUCAUUUACUGACCUUGAAGAAGAAUUUUUGCAUUUUUAGCCAAACCCACCCUGUUGCCACCCCUAGUCCCGUUCUCCUUCAGAUACUGUUCCAUAUAUUAAAGUUUUAGCUAACAAAAACCAAUCAAAGAGUACUCAAGCAAUAUGCCUCCUCGGUCCUCAGGUUUCGUCGUUGGGAAGUUAUAAAGCUCACUGAAACGAGUGGAUUCGGAAAAAUAUAGAGCUUCACAAUGAGUGUUUUGACCUGACCUUGAUUAGGUAGCGAGCUGCAAAUGAGAAGGAGCACAUAACAGUUAGAUUGGCUUUGAAUUGAUCAAGAGAUACAAUCCUUAAUGACUGUGAAUUGGAGUCCUGGUUAUCAACACUAUCUUCAAGUGUGAUACUUUCUUCAGAAGGUACCUAGAGCAGUCAAGAUCCUUGGCUUUGUUAAAAUAAGGCGAAACCAGUUUUCUCAAGGCCCUGAUGGGUGGCCCCGUAGCUGCACACAUUGGAAUUUCAAACCUAUAAAGAGGGAAUCUUUUCAGAGCCAAGACCACCCUCAUAAGAUUUUGCUCACCAUGGUGUUUUGGUCUACGGAUUUGGGACUGAUGCGUCUCUCAUUGGGACUAUUGUUUAUUAUGGUAGUAGAAGUUUGAAAUUUAAAACAUGAGGAACUUGUGAUGAAGUUUGAGAACAUCAAUCUUGUUAGUAAAACCAUGUCAAAGUGGUAUUAAAUCUAUUCAACCAUCAAUACUUAUCUUAUAAAUGAAAAUUUUCUUCCAAAUCAUUUUCUACAUUUUACAUUUUAAACUUGAUCUUAAUUCACUUUUUUCAAUAGCCACUCCCUAGAUUUUUAUUUUUUAUUUUUUAUUUUUAUUUUUUUAUUUUACCUUUUUUUCUUCUUCUUUAAUUCAAAAGUUUGACCAUUUUAACCCAACCUAAAUCUAAUGCAUAUAAAUGUAAUAUAUGCCUUUAAAAAAUAAAAUGAACCAAGUCCAAACCCAUGCCUAGAUUUUGAAACCGACCUAUAUAAACACGUUAACCACAUCUCAUAUUCUCAUCUUAACCCCAAUCACAUCUAUCUGAACCUAGAAACAUGCUCUCUUCUCUCCAUUUCCAUUCUCACAACCCUAGCUGCCCCCUCUCCCAAAGCACUCUACGAUCACAACAGCGGUAAAAGCCAUAAGAAGCCGACAUCACGGCAAAAGCCCUAAGAAGCCGUGUCACUGUAUCAUUUACUGACCUUUAUCUCUCAAGUUUUGGCUUUAACAACUACUAAUCUAACAGUCAUCAAGCAUUAUGCUGCCUCAGUUCUCAGGUUUACUUGUUGGGAAGAGAAAAAGGCUGAAAUGAGUGGAUUCGGAAAAGAGAGGAUUUUGAAUAAUGAGAUGAACAGUGGGCAGUAGUGGUUUGCACAUGAAGAGAUCAAGAGUCGACAUUAGAAAGCACUGAAAAGAGAAAAAGAAAAUUAGAGAAAAAGUCUGUGCGAUCGAUCCGGUCUUGAAAGAAGUUAUCAGUACAACUUGCUUAUGCAACAGUCAGCUGUAGUGGUUUCUUGAGGCUAGGGUGUGGAAGGUCUGAUGGUUCAAGUCCCUCCAUAAGGGCAAAAGUUGGUGUCUUGAGUGUGUUUUUUGUCGAUGAAAAAAUAUAUAUAUUUAUUACUUUUAUUGUAUAUUUGACUAAUUUAGAUGUAUAAUUACUUUGAAUGAAGCUUUUGGUGUUUAUGAGAUUUUAUUGUUCAGAUAA